rnacentral:rRNA from 1 species
AUUGAACGCUGGCGGCAUGCUUUACACAUGCAAGUCGAACGGUAACAGGCCGCAAGGUGCUGACGAGUGGCGAACGGGUGAGUAAUGCAUCGGAACGUGCCCAGUCGUGGGGGAUAACGCAGCGAAAGCUGCGCUAAUACCGCAUGCGAUCUAUGGAUGAAAGCGGGGGACCGUAUGGCCUCGCGCGAUUGGAGCGGCCGAUGUCAGAUUAGGUCGUUGGUGGGGUAAAGGCUCACCAAGCCAACGAUCUGUAGCUGGUCUGAGAGGACGACCAGCCACACUGGGACUGAGACACGGCCCAGACUCCUACGGGAGGCAGGAGUGGGGAAUUUUGGACAAUGGGCGCAAGCCUGAUCCAGCAAUGCCGCGUGCAGGAAGAAGGCCUUCGGGUUGUAAACUGCUUUUGUACGGAACGAAACGGUCCUGGUUAAUACCUGGGGCUAAUGACGGUACCGCAAGAAUAAGCACCGGCUAACUACGUGCCAGCCGCCGCGGUAAUAC